rnacentral:rRNA from 1 species
GCAGAGCAUCCUACGGGAGGCAGCAGUGGGGAAUAUUGCACAAUGGGCGCAAGCCUGAUGCAGCCAUGCCGCGUGUAUGAAGAAGGCCUUCGGGUUGUAAAGUACUUUCAGCAGUGAGGAAGGUGGGUAUGUUAAUAGCAUAUUCAUUUGACGUUAGCUGCAGAAGAAGCACCGGCUAACUCCGUGCCAGCAGCCGCGGUAAUACGGAGGGUGCGAGCGUUAAUCGGAAGUUACUGGGCGUAAAGCGCAUGCAGGUGGUUUGUUAAGUCAGAUGUGAAAGCCCGGGGCUCAACCUCGGAAUUGCAUUUGAAACUGGCAAACUAGAGUACUGUAGAGGGGGUAGAAUUUCAGGUGUAGCGGUGAAAUGCGUAGAGAUCUGAAGGAAUACCGGUGGCGAAGGCGGCCCCCUGGACAGAUACUGACACUCAGAUGCGAAAGCGUGGGGAGCAAACAGGAUUAUAUACCCUGGUAG